rnacentral:rRNA from 1 species
AUUGAACGCUGGCGGCAGGCCUAACACAUGCAAGUCGAACGAGUGGCGGACGGGUGAGUAAUGUCUGGGAAACUGCCUGAUGGAGGGGGAUAACUACUGGAAACGGUAGCUAAUACCGCAUACCAUCGGAUGUGCCCAGAUGGGAUUAGCUAGUAGGUGGGGUAAAGGCUCACCUAGGCGACGAUCCCUAGCUGGUCUGAGAGGAUGACCGGCCACUCGGGAACUGAGACGCGGUCCAGCCUCCUACGGUGGGCAGCAGGGGGGAUGAUUGCACAAUGGGCGCAGGCCGGAUGCAGCCAUGCCGCGUGUAUGAAGAAGUCUUUCGGGUUGUAAAGUACUUUCAGCGGGGAGUCGUUCCCCGAAGAAGAAGCACCGGCUAACUCCGUGCCAGCAGCCGCGGUAAUAC